rnacentral:rRNA from 1 species
CCAAUAGCGUAUAUUAAAGUUGUUGCAGUUAAAAAGCUCGUAGUUGAACUUCGGGAUCAAGGGAUCGGUCAUGCUUUUGUAUGUACUGGUCUUAUUGGUUCUCACCUUCUAAAGAACCAUAAUGUCAUUCAUUUGAUGUUAUGGGGAAUUAGGACUGUUACCUUGAAAAAAUUAGAGUGUUUAAAGCAGGCUUACGCUUGAAUACAUUAGCAUGGAAUAAUGAAAUAGGACAUCCGAUUCUAUUUUGUUGGUUUCUAGGAUCGAUGUAAUGAUUAAUAGGGAUAGUUGGGGGCAUUAGUAUUCAAUUGUCAGAGGUGAAAUUCUUGGAUUUAUUGAAGACUAACUACUGCGAAAGCAUUUGCCAAGGAUGUUUUCAUUAAUCAAGAACGAAAGUUAGGGGAUCGAAGACGAUCAGAUACCGUCGUAGUCUUAACCAUAAACUAUGCCGACUAGGGAUCGGAUGAUGUUAAUUUUUUAAUGACUCAUUCGGCACCUUAC